CCUGGCUCAGGAUGAACGCUAGCUACAGGCUUAACACAUGCAAGUCGAGGGGCAGCAUGGUCUUAGCUUGCUAAGGCCGAUGGCGACCGGCGCACGGGUGAGUAACACGUAUCCNACCUGCCGUCUACUCUUGGACAGCCUUCUGAAAGGAAGAUUAAUACAAGAUGGCAUCAUGAGUCCGCAUGUUCACAUGAUUAAAGGUAUUCCGGUAGACGAUGGGGAUGCGUUCCAUUAGAUAGUAGGCGGGGUAACGGCCCACCUAGUCUUCGAUGGAUAGGGGUUCUGAGAGGAAGGUCCCCCACAUUGGAACUGAGACACGGUCCAAGCUCCUACGGGAGGCAGCAGUGAGGAAUAUUGGUCAAUGGGCGAGAGCCUGAACCAGCCAAGUAGCGUGAAGGAUGACUGCCCUAUGGGUUGUAAACUUCUUUUAUAAAGGAAUAAAGUCGGGUAUGGAUACCCGUUUGCAUGUACUUUAUGAAUAAGGAUCGGCUAACUCCGUGCCAGCAGCCGCGGUAAUACGGAGGAUCCGAGCGUUAUCCGGAUUUAUUGGGUUUAAAGGGAGCGUAGAUGGAUGUUUAAGUCAGUUGUGAAAGUUUGCGGCUCAACCGUAAAAUUGCAGUUGAUACUGGAUAUCUUGAGUGCAGUUGAGGCAGGCGGAAUUCGUGGUGUAGCGGUGAAAUGCUUAGAUAUCACGAAGAACUCCGAUGCGAAAGGCAGCCUGCUAAGCUGCAACUGACAUUGAGGCUCGAAAGUGUGGGUAUCAAACAGGAUUAGAUACCCUGGUAGUCCACACGGUAAACGAUGAAUACUCGCUGUUUGCGAUAUACUGCAAGCGGCCAAGCGAAAGCGUUAAGUAUUCCACCUGGGGAGUACGCCGGCAACGGUGAAACUCAAAGGAAUUGACGGGGGCCCGCACAAGCGGAGGAACAUGUGGUUUAAUUCGAUGAUACGCGAGGAACCUUACCCGGGCUUAAAUUGCAGAUGAAUUACGGUGAAAGCCGUAAGCCGCAAGGCAUCUGUGAAGGUGCUGCAUGGUUGUCGUCAGCUCGUGCCGUGAGGUGUCGGCUUAAGUGCCAUAACGAGCGCAACCCUUGUUGUCAGUUACUAACAGGUUCCGCUGAGGACUCUGACAAGACUGCCAUCGUAAGAUGUGAGGAAGGUGGGGAUGACGUCAAAUCAGCACGGCCCUUACGUCCGGGGCUACACACGUGUUACAAUGGGGGGUACAGAGGGCCGCUACCACGCGAGUGGAUGCCAAUCCCCAAAACCUCUCUCAGUUCGGACUGGAGUCUGCAACCCGACUCCACGAAGCUGGAUUCGCUAGUAAUCGCGCAUCAGCCACGGCGCGGUGAAUACGUUCCCGGGCCUUGUACACACCGCCC
rnacentral:rRNA from 1 species